AGGGCUGUAGUUCAGUAGUAGAGCAUCUGCUUUGCAUGCAGAAGAACCCAGGUCCAAUCCUCAGCACCUCCA